rnacentral:rRNA from 1 species
AUUGAACGCUGGCGGCAUGCCUUACACAUGCAAGUCGAACGGCAGCACGGGAGCAAUCCUGGUGGCGAGUGGCGAACGGGUGAGUAAUAUAUCGGAACGUGCCCAGUCGUGGGGAUAACGUAGCGAAAGCUACGCUAAUACCGCAUACGAUCUAUGGAUGAAAGCGGGGGGAUCGCAAGACCUCGCGCGAUUGGAGCGGCCGAUAUCAGAUUAGGUAGUUGGUGAGGUAAAGGCUCACCAAGCCGACGAUCUGUAGCUGGUCUGAGAGGACGACCAGCCACACUGGGACUGAGACACGGCCCAGACUCCUACGGGAGGCAGCAGUGGGGAAUUUUGGACAAUGGGCGCAAGCCUGAUCCAGCAAUGCCGCGUGCAGGAUGAAGGCCUUCGGGUUGGUUAACGUU